rnacentral:lncRNA from 1 species
AUUUGACUAGUAACUCAUGUAGAGUUUAAAGUGUAGUAUACAAAAGAUUAUUACAACUACAAUACGGAAAAUGUAAACUCUCAAAGUGUAAAAUCGAACCAAACGAUCCAAAGCUUCUUCAAUACCACCAAUGGAGCCUCCUAUGAUGUUGAGCUCAGAUUUGUGCCACACCGGAUCAUACACCGUCGUCUAUGGGAAUGACAAUGGAUAUAACGAGAAAAGAUCCGCCGAAAGCCACCAAGAAUUUCAUCGGAGAUAAGGAAAGCUCCAACUUGGUUACCUCUCUAU